GCUAUCAUGGCCGAGCGGAUAAGGCCAUGGACUUGAAAUCCGUUGGGGCCUCCCCAUGCAGGUUCAAAUUCUGCUGAUAGCG